CCUACGUGAGGCAGCCGUGAGGAAUAUUGGUCACUGGGCGCGAGCCUGAACCAGCCAAGUCGCGUGAGGGAAGACGGUCCUAUGGAUUGUAAACCUCUUUUGUCGGGGAGCAAAAGACGCAACGCGUGGCGUUCCGAGAGUACCCUAAGAAAAAGCAUCGGCUAACUCCGUGCCAGCAGCCGCGGUAAUACGGAGGAUGCGAGCGUUAUCCGGAUUUAUUGGGUUUAAAGGGUGCGCAGGCGGAAGAUCAAGUCAGCGGUAAAAUUGAGAGGCUCAACCUCUUCGAGCCGUUGAAACUGGUUUUCUUGAGUGAGUGAGAAGUAUGCGGAAUGCGUGGUGUAGCGGUGAAAUGCAUAGAUAUCACGCAGAACUCCGAUUGCGAAGGCAGCAUACCGGCGCUCAACUGACGCUCAUGCACGAAAGUGUGGGUAUCGAACAGGAUUAGAUACCCCGGUAGUC
rnacentral:rRNA from 1 species